GCGCCGGAUGCCGGAAAGUUGGUCAAACUUGAUCAUUUAGAGGAAGUAAAAGUCGUAACAAGGUUUCCGUAGGUGAACCUGCGGAAGGAUCAUUACCGAUAGAAUAAUCCAAGACGAGUCCUUGAGACUUGUUUACUGUGUGAAUUGUACGCAAUCUUUUAGGGGUCGGUCUCUGUGCCGUUAAAUGGUCGUCCGCCGCUUGGCGUGCGUUCGGUCAGCCCCGACUUUAUGUUUUUUCAAACUUUGUUUAUUCAGUCUGAGAACCAAUACUGUUGGAACACGAAAAAGAGAAAGACAACUUUUAACGGUGGAUCUCUUGGCUCACGCAUCGAUGAAGAACGCAGCCAGCUGCGAUAAGUAGUGUGAAUUGCAGAAUUCAGUGAAUCAUCGAAUCUUUGAACGCAAAUGGCGCUCUUGGGUUCUCCCAGGAGCAUGUCUGCCUGAGUGUCGGAUAUCAUCCAACGCC
rnacentral:misc_RNA from 2 species